UCUGCACGUUAAAACAGUGCCAAAAGUCGUCGACCAAUCAAAAUGUGUUUUCGGCUUCGACCAAUGAGCUCCAACUUCCCGUUGUAAAGAGAGUAAUGGACAAUCAACGACCUCAGUGUUCAAGAAAAAGCCACAUACAAUGACAGCGUUCCCCUCCCCCCACCAGAAUCCAGCAAGGAAGCAAGUAGUGUUAGAACACCAAGCUUUUUGUUUGUUUAUUAGGAUUUUAACGUCAUGUUUUUACACAUUGGUUACAUUCAUGACAGGAAACGGUAGUUAUUCAUUACACAAGUUUAUUCGAUUCACAAUUGUCAUGGACAAUUUAGUAUCUUCAAUUCACCUUACUUGCAUGUCUUUGGACUGUGGGAGGAAACCGGAGCACCCGGAAUAAACCCACGCAGACAUGGGGAGAACAUGCAAACUCCACACAGAAAGGACCCGGACCGCCCCACCUGGGGAUCGAACCCAGGACCUUCUUGCUGUGAGGCGACAGUGCUACCCACUAAGCCACCGUGCCACCCAGAACACCAAGCAGUGAGGCUAAUGCAGACUUUACCAGCUAUGGUUAAGACAGCUGGUUCGCCCUCUCUUUGUCCAAGAACAUUCUUUCAAUGGCUCACAGGACAGGAACACAUCAGACCAGUUCGUCUGUGGAUAUUUGUGCCCAUUCAAUAAAUAAGUAAAACAAA